GCCCGGAUGGCGGAAUUGGUAGACGCGCUAGCUUCAGGUGCUAGUGUCCUUACGGACGUGAAGGUUCAAGUCCUUUUCCGGGCACCA
rnacentral:tRNA from 1 species